rnacentral:rRNA from 1 species
CCUACGGGUGGCAGCAGUAGGGAAUUUUGCGCAAUGGGCGAAAGCCUGACGCAGCAACGCCGCGUGAUCGAGACGCCCUUCGGGGUGUAAAGCUCUUUCAGUGGGGACGAAACUUGACGGUACCUACCGAGGAAGCACCGGCUAACUCCGUGCCAGCAGCCGCGGUAAUACGGGGGGUGCAAGCGUUGUCCGGAAUCAUUGGGCGUAAAGAGCUCGUAGGCGGGACGUCAAGUCUGGUGUUAAAGGCGAAGGCUCAACUACAGUACGGCACUGGAGACUUGCGAGCUAGAGUGCGGUAGAGGUAGGGGGAAUUCCUGGUGUAGGGGUGAAAUGCGUAGAGAUCAGGAGGAACACCGAUGGCGAAGGCGAUUUACUAGACCGUAAUUGACGCUGAGGAGCGAAAGCGAGGGUAGCAAAUGGGAUUAGAUACCCGUGUAGUC